GGUUAAGCGACUAAGCGUACACGGUGGAUGCCCUGGCAGUCAGAGGCGAUGAAGGACGUGCUAAUCUGCGAUAAGCGUCGGUGAGGUGAUAUGAACCGUUAUAACCGGCGAUUUCCGAAUGGGGAAACCCAGUGUGAUUCGUCACACUAUCAUUAACUGAAUCCAUAGGUUAAUGAGGCGAACCGGGGGAACUGAAACAUCUAAGUACCCCGAGGAAAAGAAAUCAACCGAGAUUCCCCCAGUAGCGGCGAGCGAACGGGGAGGAGCCCAGAGCCUGAAUCAGUGUGUGUGUUAGUGGAAGCGUCUGGAAAGGCGCGCGAUACAGGGUGACAGCCCCGUACACAAAAAUGCACAUAUUGUGAGCUCGAUGAGUAGGGCGGGACACGUGGUAUCCUGUCUGAAUAUGGGGGGACCAUCCUCCAAGGCUAAAUACUCCUGACUGACCGAUAGUGAACCAGUACCGUGAGGGAAAGGCGAAAAGAACCCCGGCGAGGGGAGUGAAAAAGAACCUGAAACCGUGUACGUACAAGCAGUGGGAGCCUCUUUUAUGGGGUGACUGCGUACCUUUUGUAUAAUGGGUCAGCGACUUAUAUUCUGUAGCAAGGUUAACCGAAUAGGGGAGCCGAAGGGAAACCGAGUCUUAACUGGGCGUUAAGUUGCAGGGUAUAGACCCGAAACCCGGUGAUCUAGCCAUGGGCAGGUUGAAGGUUGGGUAACACUAACUGGAGGACCGAACCGACUAAUGUUGAAAAAUUAGCGGAUGACUUGUGGCUGGGGGUGAAAGGCCAAUCAAACCGGGAGAUAGCUGGUUCUCCCCGAAAGCUAUUUAGGUAGCGCCUCGUGAAUUCAUCUCCGGGGGUAGAGCACUGUUUCGGCAAGGGGGUCAUCCCGACUUACCAACCCGAUGCAAACUGCGAAUACCGGAGAAUGUUAUCACGGGAGACACACGGCGGGUGCUAACGUCCGUCGUGAAGAGGGAAACAACCCAGACCGCCAGCUAAGGUCCCAAAGUCAUGGUUAAGUGGGAAACGAUGUGGGAAGGCCCAGACAGCCAGGAUGUUGGCUUAGAAGCAGCCAUCAUUUAAAGAAAGCGUAAUAGCUCACUGGUCGAGUCGGCCUGCGCGGAAGAUGUAACGGGGCUAAACCAUGCACCGAAGCUGCGGCAGCGACGCUUAUGCGUUGUUGGGUAGGGGAGCGUUCUGUAAGCCUGUGAAGGUGUGCUGUGAGGCAUGCUGGAGGUAUCAGAAGUGCGAAUGCUGACAUAAGUAACGAUAAAGCGGGUGAAAAGCCCGCUCGCCGGAAGACCAAGGGUUCCUGUCCAACGUUAAUCGGGGCAGGGUGAGUCGACCCCUAAGGCGAGGCCGAAAGGCGUAGUCGAUGGGAAACAGGUUAAUAUUCCUGUACUUGGUGUUACUGCGAAGGGGGACGGAGAAGGCUAUGUUGGCCGGGCGACGGUUGUCCCGGUUUAAGCGGGUAGGCUGGUUUUCCAGGCAAAUCCGGAAAAUCAAGGCUGAGGCGUGAUGACGAGGCACUACGGUGCUGAAGCAACAAAUGCCCUGCUUCCAGGAAAAGCCUCUAAGCAUCAGGUAACAUCAAAUCGUACCCCAAACCGACACAGGUGGUCAGGUAGAGAAUACCAAGGCGCUUGAGAGAACUCGGGUGAAGGAACUAGGCAAAAUGGUGCCGUAACUUCGGGAGAAGGCACGCUGAUAUGUAGGUGAAGCGACUUGCUCGUGGAGCUGAAAUCAGUCGAAGAUACCAGCUGGCUGCAACUGUUUAUUAAAAACACAGCACUGUGCAAACACGAAAGUGGACGUAUACGGUGUGACGCCUGCCCGGUGCCGGAAGGUUAAUUGAUGGGGUCAGCGCAAGCGAAGCUCUUGAUCGAAGCCCCGGUAAACGGCGGCCGUAACUAUAACGGUCCUAAGGUAGCGAAAUUCCUUGUCGGGUAAGUUCCGACCUGCACGAAUGGCGUAAUGAUGGCCAGGCUGUCUCCACCCGAGACUCAGUGAAAUUGAACUCGCUGUGAAGAUGCAGUGUACCCGCGGCAAGACGGAAAGACCCCGUGAACCUUUACUAUAGCUUGACACUGAACAUUGAGCCUUGAUGUGUAGGAUAGGUGGGAGGCUUAGAAGUGUGGACGCCAGUCUGCAUGGAGCCGACCUUGAAAUACCACCCUUUAAUGUUUGAUGUUCUAACGUGGACCCGUGAUCCGGGUUGCGGACAGUGUCUGGUGGGUAGUUUGACUGGGGCGGUCUCCUCCUAAAGAGUAACGGAGGAGCACGAAGGUUGGCUAAUCCUGGUCGGACAUCAGGAGGUUAGUGCAAUGGCAUAAGCCAGCUUGACUGCGAGCGUGACGGCGCGAGCAGGUGCGAAAGCAGGUCAUAGUGAUCCGGUGGUUCUGAAUGGAAGGGCCAUCGCUCAACGGAUAAAAGGUACUCCGGGGAUAACAGGCUGAUACCGCCCAAGAGUUCAUAUCGACGGCGGUGUUUGGCACCUCGAUGUCGGCUCAUCACAUCCUGGGGCUGAAGUAGGUCCCAAGGGUAUGGCUGUUCGCCAUUUAAAGUGGUACGCGAGCUGGGUUUAGAACGUCGUGAGACAGUUCGGUCCCUAUCUGCCGUGGGCGCUGGAGAACUGAGGGGGCUGCUCCUAGUACGAGAGGACCGGAGUGGACGCAUCACUGGUGUUCGGGUUGUCAUGCCAAUGGCACUGCCCGGUAGCUAAAUGCGGAAGAGAUAAGUGCUGAAAGCAUCUAAGCACGAAACUUGCCCCGAGAUGAGUUCUCCCUGACUCCUUGAGAGUCCUGAAGGAACGUUGAAGACGACGACGUUGAUAGGCCGGGUGUGUAAGCGCAGCGAUGCGUUGAGCUAACCGGUACUAAUGAACCGUGAGGCUUAACCUU
rnacentral:rRNA from 1 species